UGCUGGAGGUAUCAGAAGUGCGAAUGCUGACAUAAGUAACGAUAAAGCGGGUGAAAAGCCCGCUCGCCGGAAGACCAAGGGUUCCUGUCCAACGUUAAUCGGGGCAGGGUGAGUCGACCCCUAAGGCGAGGCCGAAAGGCGUAGUCGAUGGGAAACGGGUUAAUAUUCCCGUACUUGGUGUUACUGCGAAGGGGGGACGGAGAAGGCUAUGUUGGCCGGGCGACGGUUGUCCCGGUUUAAGCGUGUAGGUGUGUGUUCCAGGUAAAUCCGGUUCACUUUAACACUGAGGCGUGACGACGAGGCACUACG
rnacentral:rRNA from 1 species